GACUGAGUAGCUGUACAUUGUCAAAGAGAAACUGUAAAGCUCUGUCUUCAGUUCUCAGCUCCCAGUCCUCUAGUCUGAGAGAGCUGGACCUGAGUAACAACUACCUGCGGGAUCAGGAGUGAAGCAUCUAUCUUCUGGAUUGAAGAGUCCACCACUGCAGACUGGAAACUCUCAGUCUCUGUGGCUGUCUGAUCUCAGAGGAAGGUUGUUCUUCUCUGGCCUCAGCUCUGAGCUCCAACCCCUCCCAUCUGAGAGUGCUGGACCUGAGCUACAAUCAUCCAGGAGACUCAGGAGUGAAGCAGCUUUCUGUUUUACUGGAGGAUCCAAACUGCAGAUUGGACACUCUCAGGGUGGACCAUGGUGGACCUCAGAGACUGAGACCUGGUCCGAGGAAGUAUGUCUGUGAACUGGAACUGGAC